rnacentral:misc_RNA from 1 species
UCUCCGUUGGUGAACCAGCGGAGGGAUCAUUACAGAGUUGCAAAACUCCCAAACCAUUGUGAACGUUACCUAUCCCGUUGCUUCGGCGGGCGGCCCGGGCCCCGCGCCCGGCGCCCCCCGGCCCCCCGUGGGCGCCCGCCGGAGGUAAACCAAACCCUUGAAUUGCAUGGCCUCUCUGAGUAUUCUGUACUGAAUAAGCCAAAACUUUCAACAACGGAUCUCUUGGUUCUG